GCUCCCCCUCCCGUGCUCAAAGUUAUGUGGGAAAGGGUGUCUGGUUCUUCCGAGCCCACCCAUACUGCGCUCAUCACGUCCCAGCCUUGAGGGAGGAGCCAUGCUAUUUGCAGCUUGCCCUGUAGCCUUUUGCGCGAGAGGAAGGAGAGGGUGGAAGGAAGAGAAAAUGGCUCAAGUCUUUGGGGGUCACGCGGUUACUGGAAUCUAAAGGGAUCAAGGGUCCGCCCACGUAGCCGCUAUGGAAAUAUGACAGCUGAGGAGAGUCCAGCCAAAAGCUGCCCAAGCGGUUGGCUCCUGCCUGAUUCCGGGAGGAAUCUGAAGAUUUGUGGAUGGAUUUCAUAUGGAAUAUCAUUUAAUGUGCUGAGAUAAAUAGAAGAAUAGGCCACACACCUUUCUGCUUCUGUUUACAUUUCAGGUUCAAAUACUAAGAGCUACGUGUGAUAUAUGAAACCUGCAGGAGAUGUUGUAAUGACUGUGAAAUUACACUGAGGACAGAUCUUGCUUCUUCCAUUUUUUUUUGUGAUUACUGCUCUUACUAUUGUGAUUGAUUAUUUUCUACAGUAAGUGAGCUGGUUGCUUUGUCUGGUCCUUCUGUUUAAAAAAGCGAGAGAGAAAGAUGUCUAAUCCUGACGCCCAUCAAGAUGCUGGUAUCAAGCCAGGCUUGUUGGAAAAGAGCAACAAUUCUGGUGAUUCUCAGCCCUCGAUCAAUUUGGAAAGAAGGAACAAAAGUGGGAUAAUUAGUGAACCUUUGAACAAAAGUCUUAAGAAGUCUCGGCCACUGUCCCAUUACUCUGCUUUUGGUAGCGGCAGCUCAUUAAGUGAACAUUCAGAGAAAUGUGCCCCCAUGGCCAACAGCAGUGAGGCAAUCGUGGAAAAAAGCAAUUCUACCUCAAAGCACAAAACCAUCUCUGACAUGUUGAGCAAAUCAGAUAUUUCUUUGGAAGGACAGAACAUCUUGCAACAGUUUGCUCAGUCUACAGAGUUGCUCAAAAGAGUUGUCCAGGAGCACAUCCCUCUGCCUAAUGACCAUGGGACGGGCAUCUCAGACAUAGAAGCUGUCUCAACUGCUGAAACAAUGAACAACCCAUCUGAUUUCCCUUACCUGGGGGCUUUCCCCAUCAACCCUGGCCUUUUCAUUAUGACCCCUGCUGGUGUAUUUUUGGCAGAAAGUGCACUCCAUAUGGCUGGCUUAGCAGAGUACCCAAUGCAGAAUGAAUUGGCGUCUGCCAUCAAUUCAGGGAAAAAGAAACGAAAACGAUGCGGCAUGUGUCCCCCUUGCAGAAGACGGAUAAACUGUGAGCAGUGCAGCAGUUGUAGGAACCGUAAAACUGGACAUCAGAUUUGCAAAUUCCGAAAAUGUGAAGAACUUAAAAAGAAGCCUUCUGCUGCACUGGAGGACACAGAGUCAGUGGAUUGUGGUCCCUGAUUGUUCAGAGCUGCCUGACUUCUGAUUUGCAAGAGCUGUCAUCAUCUCACAAAAGUGAUGCUUCCUACAGGUGCUGCAUUCCGAUGGUUUCAAUAGGAACAAGAAUCCCAAAGCUCUAUCCUCCAGUGCAAUGUCACUGCUUGCUUGUGUUGUCUCAGGCAAGGAAUUUUUUGACGGAAAUAAAUGGAUGCACCUAUGUCUUCUUUAGAACCAAAAAUAUUUUCUUGCAGAUUUCAUUCCUUUUUUUAAUAUAAUUUUUGGCAUUUGUUUAACAUCUUUUAAGUACUAGUAAAGCAUUAAUGUUUUCAAAUAAUUUUUUUUAAAGAAUCCAUAAAGUAUCAAGAUGUAAUAGAGUAUGGACAAUCAAUCAAUUUGUUUUCCUGUGUUUUGAUGUUGAUGUUGUUUAUGUGUGGAAGAUGCAGUUCUUGUGUAGAGAAUGUAAAUUUACAGUAACCUUUUAAAUCUAGUUACUAAUACGCACUACUGUAAUUAGCACAGCAGUUUCUUCAUUUAUCUGAUUGAUUUCCAUCAUUAAAGAAAAAUAGUGUGGCUAGUUUCUAGAAUGCCUCAAUUCAUGUUUAUAAAUGAACAUAUAUUUAAAAUAAGGUAGUUUCUUUUCCCUAAUUCUACAAAUAAGACGAGAUUUAAUCAGCAAGAUGUCUGGUCUUAUAAAAUGGAAAUAUAUUGAAAACUGGCAUUUUUUUAAAAAGAAAAGCAAAAAUAAUAAAAUUUAGAUCAAAUAAAAUUGCAUACUAUAGUAAACCCAGAACUAAUUGCAAUGAUUCACUUUUAGAGACCAUUUGGAAAUAUUGCUGGAAUUCCAAUGUAAGCUGUUGCAGAACCUGUGCUGAAAAAAUAUAGAAGUCCUUUUUUAUGUUGAAAAACCCUCAUCUCCUGCUUUCUUACCAUCUCUAAUUGAAAGCCUGUUUGUAAUGUUCUAGCAAUUCAAGCUAAGCUGUUUUGUGAAUAAAAAUGAAAGCAUGUUUUGUGUCA